rnacentral:rRNA from 1 species
CAGUGGGGAAUCUUGCGCAAUGGGCGAAAGCCUGACGCAGCGACGCCGCGUGAGGGAUGACGGCCUUCGGGUUGUAAACCUCUUUCAGCUCCGACGAAGCGGAAGUGACGGUAGGAGCAGAAGAAGCACCGGCCAACUACGUGCCAGCAGCCGCGGUAAUACGUAGGGUGCAAGCGUUGUCCGGAAUUAUUGGGCGUAAAGAGCUCGUAGGCGGUCUGUCGCGUCGGCUGUGAAAACUCGGGGCUCAACUCCGAGCUUGCAGUCGAUACGGGCAGGCUAGAGUUCGGCAGGGGAGACUGGAAUUCCUGGUGUAGCGGUGAAAUGCGCAGAUAUCAGGAGGAACACCGGUGGCGAAGGCGGGUCUCUGGGCCGAUACUGACGCUGAGGAGCGAAACGUGGGGGAGCAAACAGGAUUAGAUACCCUGGUAGUCCACGCCGUAAACGUUGGGCGCUAGGUGUGGGAUCCCUUCCACGGGUUCCGUGCCGCAGCUAACGCAUUAAGCGCCCCGCCUGGGGAGUACGGCCGCAAGCUAA